CAGCAGUAGCCGCGGUAAUACGUAGGUCCCGAGCGUUGUCCGGAUUUAUUGGGCGUAAAGCGAGCGCAGGCGGUUAGAUAAGUCUGAAGUUAAAGGCUGUGGCUUAACCAUAGUACGCUUUGGAAACUGUUUAACUUGAGUGCAAGAGGGGAGAGUGGAAUUCCAUGUGUAGCGGUGAAAUGCGUAGAUAUAUGGAGGAACACCGGUGGCGAAAGCGGCUCUCUGGCUUGUAACUGACGCUGAGGCUCGAAAGCGUGGGGAGCAAACAGGAUUAGAUACCCCCGUAGUCCCUGUCUCUUAUACA
rnacentral:rRNA from 1 species